AAGACUUCGGUCAAGUUGAACGGAUGACUUAGUGGCGGACGGGUGAGUAACGCGUGAGGAACCUGCCUUUCAGUGGGGGACAACAGUUGGAAACGACUGCUAAUACCGCAUAAGCCCACGGCUCGGCAUCGAGCAGAGGGAAAAGGAGUGAUCCGCUUUGAGAUGGCCUCGCGUCCGAUUAGCUAGUUGGUGAGGUAACGGCCCACCAAGGCGACGAUCGGUAGCCGGACUGAGAGGUUGAACGGCCACACUGGAACUGAGACACGGUCCAGACUCC
rnacentral:rRNA from 1 species